rnacentral:lncRNA from 1 species
GCCACUUCCAUUCAAGGCAGAGUCAGCAAGCUGCAUUAGCUAUGCUGCUAUGAGUGUGCAGUGAAGAAAGGCUUCAACACACUGCACAGCAGCUGUGCAAGGAGAAGCUGAGAGAGAAAGUGGGUAGCAUCCCCCUGCAGCCCCCAAGGUCAGCCAGGGGCAGGAGGUGCUCUGUGCCCUGGAGCAGACGUACCCCUGCAGCCUGUCGGGACCACGCAGAGCAGGUGGCUGUGCCCCAUGGCUGCUGCAGGAGGUCAGGCAGGAGCUGCAGCCCAGACAACAUCCAGCUGGAUCAGUACCUGCACCCCAUGUGGGAGAAGCUCCAGAAGGCAAGCCAAGGGAAGGACCCACCCUGGGGCAGAGAAGGGCGUGAGGAGAGAGGAGUAGCAGUGAAAAAUUACUACAGCCUGACCACAACCCUCGCUCCCGUGGCUCUUAGCAAGGGAGAAGAUAGAAGAAUUGAGACAGAUGUUGAAACUGGGAAGAAGGGGAGCAGCAGGAAAGUGUUCUCAGUUUGCUUUUAGUUCUCACUGCCCUACUCUGUUAUGAAUUCAUCUUCCACACACUGAGUCUGUUUUGCCCAUGGUGUUAAGGGGUGAGCAAUCUCCCUGUCCUCACCUCAACACAUUGAGGUGUUGGGUUUUUUUUUGGGAAAUCCUACUUUCUCCAUGUGGCCUGAGGAGAAAUGAGGGAACAGCUUGGUGGGCAGCCAGAGCAGGUCAGCCCUCUGCAGGGAUCAUUACGAGACCAAACAAAAUGCUUCAGAUAGCUCCAUAAGUUAGUGCAGGGAAUUUAAAAAAAAAUGCAUUUAUGGUAAACUAGAAUUGUACAGAUACCAUUUAUCAGUUACCAGCACACAAUUCUUGCUUCACACAUACCCUGUGAACAUCAGCUCAUUUUACAUGCAAAAGACCAAAAAGCAGGUAUUACAACAGUUCUUUCACAACCCUAAUUUAGAAAAAUAUAUUUUACUCUUUGUUGAUACUGCACAGUGAACUUCACUCGCUCUUCUGAUCAAGUUGAAGGAGAAUAAUACUGUCCGUAAUUCCAUGCGUUCUGGUAAUUGUACUGAUACCAGGCAUUAUAGUUGUAUGCUGCCUGAUUCACCUGCAUGUCUCCAUCCAUCAUCUGUGCUGAUGCCAUGGUUUGCUCAUCUGUGAGCAUUUUCUUCUCAUCUGGCUCCUCCGAUCCGUUCUCUGCUCUCCUCUUUAACGUAUCCUGCUCCUUCAGAAGUGCUUGGUGUUCAUCAUACGCAUCCAAAAGCUUGUUUACAU